GACGAACGCUGGCGGCGUGCUUAACACAUGCAAGUCGAACGGAAAGGCCCUGCUUUUGUGGGGUGCUCGAGUGGCGAACGGGUGAGUAACACGUGAGUAACCUGCCCUUGACUUUGGGAUAACUUCAGGAAACUGGGGCUAAUACCGGAUAGGAGCUCCUGCUGCAUGGUGGGGGUUGGAAAGUUUCGGCGGUUGGGGAUGGACUCGCGGCUUAUCAGCUUGGUGGUGGGGUAGUGGUUUACCAAGGCUUUGACGGGUAGCCGGCCUGAGAGGGUGACCGGCCACAUUGGGACUGAGAUACGGCCCAGACUCCUACGGGAGGCAGCAGGCGGGAAUAUUGCACAAUGGGCGGAAGCCUGAUGCAGCAACGCCGCGUGCGGGAUGACGGCCUGCGGGUUGUAAACCGCUUUCGCCUGUGACGAAGCGUUAGUGACGGUAAUGUGUAAAGAAGCACCGGCUAACUACGUG
rnacentral:rRNA from 1 species